rnacentral:lncRNA from 1 species
AAUCCACCAGGUGUCACCAGGCAGCAUACAGCUGCCUCUCUGAGUAAGAAGAUGGGAGCCCCCCUGAGGGAAAAGUUGCUUUGGUGAGAGUAAGAAGGCCGUCAGACCUCCUCCAAACAAACCAACUCCACCAACCUCUGGCUCUUAAAUAACAUCAUCAUCCAGAAAUGUAAGGACUCAGCCUUGGUCAAGGUGGUAAAGGGUCUGUUUGUCUCCCUCCAUUAGACAAGGGUCUUGUCUUGCUACCCUAAUGGUAAAGGGCUGACUGGGGAGGGGUUGUAGGGACAUGGUGGGGGUGAAGACUCCAGACCCACUUCUCCAGGCUUAUGCUGACAGGGGCCUGCUUUUAUUUAUUUUUAUUUUUAUCCCAUGAUGUUUUUUUAAAUCCCGUAACUUCUUUUUCAGAACUUUUUAAAAAAACUUUUCAUAAAACUUUUUUUUUUUACUUUUUUCCCACAUCUUUUUUUGCCACAACUUUUCCACAGUAUUUUUUAUCCCGUAACUUUUUCAUCCCACAACUUUAAUUCCUGUAAUUUUUUAGUUUGUGUUCUUUUAAUAAACACACUUAUAUGGUUACAAUUUUGUAAGAAUAAAAACCGAUUAUCUCAUGCCAAGCAUGCCCAGCAUUUGCACAGUCUCAAUACCUUUAAUACUAUAGUUUUCAAGACACACAAAAUUUUUAGGCAAAACAGCACCUUGAAAUAAUCUAAUAAUCUAUUACAUUACAGUAGCAUCACAGAAGCAGUCAAUAAUGCCACUUUAGACAAAAAUCAGUAUUUCCAUCAUGCAUUCUGUGUAUAAGAAUUCAUAAAUCGGUAAAAGUCGUUCUAAGAAAACUUGGCAAAUACAGCUUUGGACUGGAAUUGGCAUUUCUUUCUCUACUUUUCCUUCCCCUAGAUUCUUUGUUUUAAGCUACAGUAUUCGUAUUUUAAAAUGUUUUAAAUUAUUUUAAGACGUUAAUAUAACAGUUACAUUUUUGAAUAGUUAUUUGAAAGUGACUGUAAGAUAAAGUUUUAGGGAAUCUAUUUUGGAUAGGGUUGAUUUACAUUUUCACAUUUUCUAAAAAUCAGCUUUGGUUUUAGAACUGAUUGUUUUUCAUUUCAGGAAAAACUAUCAGGUUUAAUCUAUUACUUUAAAAAUAAUUAUCAUAUAUUGCAGUCUUUAAAUAGGUAUUUUCAUUCUUUACUUCCUACAGAAAUUCAAAUUUAUUCAGUCGAACUCACAUUUUAAAAUUCUAUCUUUCUGCUGAACUCUAACCUUCUAAUAUUGCCUUCUAAGCAAAUUAAAGGCUGCCUUAUACUGAAUGAGGAAGAGAACAAAUACUUGGCUGAAUGAGGUACUGCAAGAGACUGCAUGCACUUUGAAGAAAGACUUGAGUUAUUGUCAUAGGAUUUCCAUUCUCUUUAGCUUUUUCUUAAACAUAUGACAAAAUACCUACACAGAGAGUGGUAUUUGAGUUAAUAUAGUACAUUUAUUUUUCAGACUGACAUUCAGCUUAAAUAUGCCAGUAUGUGAUUUAAUCCACAGGUACCUGAUGAACACAUUAUUGUCAGAUUGGUUACAGUUGCUAAACGCUAUCUGAAGGUCAUUCCUAGUCAUUUAUACGUGUCAGGGUAAAAGUGAAGCGAUUUGAACUAUAAAAAUACCUUUGAAAUAAUUUAUCAAUGUAUUAGAUAAGCUCAGUUUCAGAAUGAUAAAC